rnacentral:rRNA from 1 species
UAGGGAAUCUUCCGCAAUGGACGCAAGUCUGACGGAGCAACGCCGCGUGAGUGAAGAAGGAUUUCGGUUCGUAAAACUCUGUUGUUAGAGAAGAACAGCGCAUAGAGUAACUGUUAUGCGUGUGACGGUAUCUAACCAGAAAGCCACGGCUAACUACGUGCCAGCAGCCGCGGUAAUACGUAGGUGGCAAGCGUUGUCCGGAUUUAUUGGGCGUAAAGCGAGCGCAGGCGGUUAGAUAAGUCUGAAGUUAAAGGCAGUGGCUCAACCAUUGUAGGCUUUGGAAACUGUUUAACUUGAGUGCAGAAGGGGAGAGUGGAAUUCCAUGUGUAGCGGUGAAAUGCGUAAAUAUAUGGAGGAACACCGGUGGCGAAAGCGGCUCUCUGGUCUGUAACUGACGCUGAGGCUCGAAAGCGUGGGGAGCGAACAGG